AACGAACGCUGGCGGCAUGCCUAACACAUGCAAGUCGAACGAAGCCUUCGGGCUUAGUGGCGCACGGGUGCGUAACGCGUGGGAAUCUGCCCUUGGGUUCGGAAUAACAGUUAGAAAUGACUGCUAAUACCGAAUGAUGUCUUCGGACCAAAGAUUUAAUCGCCCAAGGAUGAGCCCGCGUCGGAUUAGCUAGUUGGUGAGGUAAAGGCUCACCAAGGCGACGAUCCGUAGCUGGUCUGAGAGGAUGAUCAGCCACACUGGGACUGAGACACGGCCCAGACUCCUACGGGAGGCAGCAGUGGGGAAUAUUGGACAAUGGGCGAAAGCCUGAUCCAGCAAUGACCGCGUGAGUGAUGAAGGCCUUAAGGGUUGUAAAAGCUCUUUUACCCGGGAUGAUAAUGACAGUACCGGGAGAAUAAG
rnacentral:rRNA from 1 species